CUCUCCUAUCUACUCCCCCUCCUCCCCCUCUCACCCUUCUUUUUCUCCCCUCCCUUGGAGUUGCAGGAUAUCGGAGGACUCUUCUUCCCCUCCAAGUUUUUCUGUUGAGGGACCUCCUGACAAACAUACAGAAUGCUGACAAACAUGCAGGAGGUCCUCUCUUAGCAUUUUUUUCUAACCACUGUGUGAGUUUCUCUCCUCAGAUGCCUCCUGCCUUACCUAAGAGGGCUGCUGGACUUCCUGCCAGCCAACCUCCAGGUAAGAAGGUUCACAAACCUUUCAUUUCAUUAAAUUUACCCCGUUUUGUUUUAAACAUUUUAGCUACGUGUGAUUUUCUGGAUGUGAUCUGGUCAGUUUUUAUUUGAAUGAAUCUCUUGUGAUUAUGUCUGAUCAGAUCUAUUCCAACUUUAUUUGGAUGAAUUUUCUUCGACUGUAUUUUGUGUGAUUCUGUCUGAGCUCGGUUCUUGUCGGUGGGACUCUUGUCAGGGUGCCCGUCAGAGGUGUGGGCGGAUCUGGGGGGCAUUGUGGGAAACCUCCUGUGGUGCCCCCCCUCACAGUGAAGCUCCGCUCUGUCAGAAGGUGAACAGGAUGCAGACGGCAUGUCACAGAGAAGCAACAUGUGCGUCUGUAUCCCACCCUGGACCCACAGUGGAGUCCACAGUGACAAGAUCACAGUUCAGGAGAGUCACACUGGGAUUAAAAGGGGUGGUUAAAUGUGUUAUUUAAGAUAGUAAGUGUAGUGUGAGGGUGAAAGUCUCGCUGCCAGAGGGAAGUUUCCAGGAGAGGUACGUAAGGAUCCCUGUGAAUGCUGCUGCAUGAAACGGUGAGUUUUGGAUUUUGACUUUGCAUUCAUAUAUCGAAUAUUUUUGAAAUCUCAACAAUAACACACGUCGACAAGAUUCUGCCGCGUUUUUCUUUUUGAUUUCUUUCAGACUGAUGAUCUCGGGACCCAAGACCAAGACAAGGACGACCCCAAAGACGAUUUGAAGACGAGUGACCGAGCCCCAACAGAGAUGAAGCCAGAGACGACGACCGCCCUGUGAGGAGAAGAAACUUUAUUGAGAUUUUACCGGAUGCACUGAAUUGGUGCUUCAACGACAUCAAGCAGAUUCAGACAGGAUGGACCAGAGAUGACGGGAGGCAGAUCCAGGACCAGUGCAUGACUCGUGAGACCAUGCAAUUAACACAAGAGCCAUCUCUCCAAGACCCCCGAUCUUAUGAAAGAUCAGAUCAAUAACCAAAUGAAAAGGUUUCUCUGGAUCUGGAGCUGCAUGUUUCUGAUCUGCUGUUGUCGGCCUCAGCGACCUCCAAAGUCUUCAUGUUCUCUCCUUCCUCUCUACCCUCAACCCAACCAGAAGGUUUUUAAAACUUCCCAACAACAGGAAGUUUUUUUUCCUUCACACUGGCACCACAUGGUUGAUCUGAUCAUACGGCAAAAAGAGAGAUCCUCAAAUAAAAAACAAAAGAACACAACAGAACUCUGUUUGUUUUAAAGUGUAACAUAAUGCACCCUUCCUUUUAUACUUAUUUUUGGAGAGCAUGUGUUAUGGUUCUCAAACUAAAUUAGUUUAAAAAAAUGUGCUUUCAAACCACUGGUUUCUCACAAACACCUGGACUCCAUCUUAAAACUGCACAGCAUUUGAACAUACUGCUGGUUGAGUGUUUACUUGGAGUAAAUACACUAACAUUAACAGAUUGUAUCUGAAAUUCAGUCAUAAUGUGCACCAACUAGUGUCUGUUGUGGUUGACAAUAAAGUAGCUAUUCUGUUCUAUUCUGAUUAAUCCCUGCUCAUGCUGCAUCCUUGUCCUAGAUUACAGGAUGCAUUCAGUCCCUGGAUGUGUUCCAGGCAGAAAAGUUAGAUUUGGUUACAAUAGGAGGAGCAGUUUAAGUGUUUCGGUCUUGUAGAUUGUUUCAGAAUGAAAAGUGCAGAUUUGAAAUCCUCAGUGUGUGUGUGGUCAGUCAUUAGAGAUGCUCCAACCUGAGCUGUGCAACAUAACCAACUAUUAUGCAUUGUUGCCUGUUUUGGUUCUCCCUUGUGUCGUAUGCUGUUCACUGCAAUUCAACAGUUUCAUUUAUCAGACGCUUUUAUCCAAAGCAGCGCAUCUGAAGUAGAUACAACACACAGUUGAUGAACCUGAACACAUCAUCAGUGAUGCUUCCUGGACUGUUUCGGCUCUUAC